rnacentral:rRNA from 1 species
AGUGAACGCUGGCGGUAGGCCUAACACAUGCAAGUCGAACGGCAGCACAGUAAGAGCUUGCUCUUACGGGUGGCGAGUGGCGGACGGGUGAGGAAUACAUCGGAAUCUACUUUUUCGUGGGGGAUAACGUAGGGAAACUCACGCUAAUACCGCAUACGACCUACGGGUGAAAGCAGGGGAUCUUCGGACCUUGCGCGAUUGAAUGAGCCGAUGUCGGAUUAGCUAGUUGGCGGGGUAAAGGCCCACCAAGGCGACGAUCCGUAGCUGGUCUGAGAGGAUGAUCAGCCACACUGGAACUGAGACACGGUCCAGACUCCUACGGGAGGCAGCAGUGGGGAAUAUUGGACAAUGGGCGCAAGCCUGAUCCAGCCAUACCGCGUGGGUGAAGAAGGCCUUCGGGUUGUAAAGCCCUUUUGUUGGGAAAGAAAAGCAGCAGGUUAAUACCCCGCUGUUCGGACGGUACCCAAAGAAUAAGCACCGGCUAACUUCGU